rnacentral:rRNA from 1 species
CCCUUAGAUGUUCUGGGCGGCCCGCGCACUACAUUGGCACCCUCAAUAAGUUCCUAGAUCUAAAACUUUGGGGUAUUCUAUUAAGUGGUGUCGUGACUGGGAUUAACCCUUGCAAUUAUUGGUUACGAACGAGGAAUUCCUUGUAAUCGCGGUUUAUCAGCCCGCGUUGAAUGCGUCCCUGCCCUUUGUACACACCGCCCGUCGCUCCUACCGAUGAAUCGUCCGGUGAAGUUCAUGGAGUGGUGGUUGUUCCAGCUGCUGUCGAAGUGAAAUGGACCUCACGAUUUAGAGGAAGGAGAAGUCGUAACA